UACGGAGGGAGCUAGCGUUGUUCGGAAUUACUGGGCGUAAAGCGUGCGCAGGCGGUUAUGUAAGACAGAUGUGAAAUCCCCGGGCUCAACCUGGGAACUGCAUUUGUGACUGCAUAGCUAGAGUACGGUAGAGGGGGAUGGAAUUCCGCGUGUAGCAGUGAAAUGCGUAGAUAUGCGGAGGAACACCGAUGGCGAAGGCAAUCCCCUGGACCUGUACUGACGCUCAUGCACGAAAGCGUGGGGAGCAAACAGG
rnacentral:rRNA from 1 species